GAGUUUGAUCAUGGCUCAGAUUGAACGCUGGCGGCAGGCCUAACACAUGCAAGUCGAGCGGAUGACGGGAGCUUGCUCCUUGAUUCAGCGGCGGACGGGUGAGUAAUGCCUGGGAAUCUGCCUGGUAGUGGGGGACAACGUUUCGAAAGGAACGCUAAUACCGCAUACGUCCUACGGGAGAAAGCAGGGGACCUUCGGGCCUUGCGCUAUCAGAUGAGCCUAGGUCGGAUUAGCUAGUUGGUGGGGUAAUGGCUCACCAAGGCGACGAUCCGUAACUGGUCUGAGAGGAUGAUCAGUCACACUGGAACUGAGACACGGUCCAGACUCCUACGGGAGGCAGCAGUGGGGAAUAUUGGACAAUGGGCGAAAGCCUGAUCCAGCCAUGCCGCGUGAGUGAAGAAGGCC
rnacentral:rRNA from 1 species